CCUUAUGUUUUUUUUCAUGACGACCAAUAAAAAACAGUGUUACCCCUUAUGGUUUUUUUCAUGACGACCAAUAAAAAACGACAGUGUUACCCCUUAUGUUUUUUUUCAUGACGACCAAUAAAAAACAACAUGUUACCCCUUAUGUUUUUUUUCAUGACGACCAAUGAAAAAACGACAGUGCUACCCCUUAUGUUUUUUUUCAUGACGACCAAUAAAAAACAGUGUUACCCCUUAUGGUUUUUUUCAUGACAACCAAUAAAAAAAGGACAUGUUACCCCUUAUGGUUUUUUUCAUGACGACCAAUAAAAACGACAGUGUUACCCCUUAUGUUUUUUUUCAUGACGACCAAUAAAAAACAGUGUUACCCCUUAUGGUUUUUUUUCAUGACAACCAAUAAAAAAGGACAGUGUUACCCCUUCUUUUUUUUUUCAUGACGACCAAUAAAAAACAACAGUGUUACCCCUUAUGUUUUUUUUCAUGACGACCAAUAAAAAACA
ensembl:lncRNA